rnacentral:rRNA from 1 species
AACGAACGCUGGCGGCGCGCCUAAUACAUGCAAGUCGAGCGAGAAGACGUAGCAAUACGUUUGUAAAGCGGCGAACGGGUGAGGAAUACAUGGGUAACCUACCCUCGAGUGGGGAAUAACUAGCCGAAAGGUUAGCUAAUACCGCGUACGCUCCUUGGACUUCGGUUCAGGGAGGAAAGCGAUACCGUGGGUAUCGCGCUCUUGGAUGGGCUCAUGUCCUAUCAGCUUGUUGGUGAGGAACGGCUCACCAAGGCUUCGACGGGUAGCUGGUCUGAGAGGACAAUCAGCCACACUGGCACUGCGACACGGGCCAGACUCCUACGGGAGCAGCAAGUAAGGAAUAUUGCGCAAU